GGUAAUUUCCCCCAAGUUUGAUUUUUGUCCACCUUUUUCAUCCUCAAAUUUCCCUCAUAAGCUACAUUUCACUCUUUCUUCCCCCCAAACCCUCGCGCAGUCAAGAAAACCAUCCACGACCCAAACCUCCGGCCAUCCAAACCUCUGAUCUCUGACAACAUGAGGCAAUACGUUGUGAUUCUCAUCACUUUCCAUGUUAUUGUUGGAAUAAGGGUCCAGGCGAGCCGGCGGUACAUUAGGAUCCAGUACCGGGUCUUGAUGAGGACGGUGAGGGGCUUUCGGGUUAAGCUUUGUUUCCUUCAUCGCAUGUGAAGGCUUCCGGGUCUUUUGUUGUACAUAUAUGAUGUAUACCUAUUAGCCUAACUAUAAUUGUUGUUGGUUAGUAUGGCCUGGUCAUUUUUUGUUUUUUGUCGUAGAUGAUCAGUGUUACCUAGAACAGUUAAACAGGGUUACUUGGGUUUGUCAAGUUUUGGGUAUAUGGGAUUAGUGAUCAUGGAUAACCCAUGUUUUGGUAUGCAACAAUGUUUUAUGA